rnacentral:rRNA from 1 species
AUUGAACGCUGGCGGCAUGCCUUACACAUGCAAGUCGAACGGUAACAGGUCUUUCGGGAUGCUGACGAGUGGCGAACGGGUGAGUAAUACAUCGGAACGUGCCUAGUAGUGGGGGAUAACUACUCGAAAGAGUGGCUAAUACCGCAUGAGAUCUAUGGAUGAAAGCAGGGGACCUUCGGGCCUUGUGCUACUAGAGCGGCCGAUGGCAGAUUAGGUAGUUGGUGGGAUAAAAGCUUACCAAGCCUACGAUCUGUAGCUGGUCUGAGAGGACGAUCAGCCACACUGGGACUGAGACACGGCCCAGACUCCUACGGGAGGCAGCAGUGGGGAAUUUUGGACAAUGGGGGAAACCCUGAUCCAGCGAUGCCGCGUGCAGGAUGAAGGCCUUCGGGUUGUAAACUGCUUUUGUACGGAACGAAAAGUCUUGGGUUAAUACCCUGGGAUCAUGACGGUACCGUAAGAAUAAGCACCGGCUAACUACGUGCCAGCCGCCGCCGUAAUAC